rnacentral:rRNA from 1 species
CAGUAGCCGCGGUAAUACGGAGGGGGCUAACGUUAUUCGGAAUUACUGGGCGUAAAGGGCACGUAGGCGGCUUCGCAAGUCAGAGGUGAAAGCCUGGGGCUCAACUCCAGAAUUGCCUUUGAGACUGCGUCGCUUGAAUCCGGGAGAGGUGAGUGGAAUUCCGAGUGUAGAGGUGAAAUUCGUAGAUAUUCGGAAGAACACCAGUGGCGAAGGCGGCUCACUGGACCGGCAUUGACGCUGAGGUGCGAAAGCGUGGGGAGCAAACAGGAUUAGAGACCCGAGUAGUACCUGUCUCUUAUAC